rnacentral:rRNA from 1 species
GACGUAGGGCGCGAGCGUUGUCCGGAUUUAUUGGGCGUAAAGAGCUCGUAGGCGGCUUGUCGCGUCGACUGUGAAAACCCGCGGCUCAACUGCGGGCUUGCAGUCGAUACGGGCAGGCUAGAGUUCGGUAGGGGAGACUGGAAUUCCUGGUGUAGCGGUGAAAUGCGUAGAGAUGCGGAGGAACACCGAUGGCGAAGGCAGCCCUCUGGGCUAACACUGACGCUGAGGCACGAAAGCGUGGGGAGCAAACAGGG